rnacentral:rRNA from 1 species
AGAUUGAACGCUGGCGGCAGGCCUAACACAUGCAAGUCGAGCGGUAGAGAGGUGCUUGCACCUCUUGAGAGCGGCGGACGGGUGAGUAAUGCCUAGGAAUCUGCCUAGUGGUGGGGGAUAACGUUCGGAAACGGACGCUAAUACCGCAUACGUCCUACGGGAGAAAGCGGGGGACCUUCGGGCCUCGCGCCAUUAGAUGAGCCUAGGUCGGAUUAGCUAGUUGGUGAGGUAAUGGCUCACCAAGGCGACGAUCCGUAACUGGUCUGAGAGGAUGAUCAGUCACACUGGAACUGAGACACGGUCCAGACUCCUACGGGAGCAGCAGUGGGGAAUAUU